rnacentral:rRNA from 1 species
GACGAGCCACCCGAACGUUAUUCGGAAUUACUGGGCUUAAAGGGUGCGUAGGCGGUGUAGCAAGUCGGGAGUGAAAUACCCCAGCUUAACUGAGGAAUUGCUUUCGAUACUGCUGCGCUUGAGUGAGACAGAGGUAAGCGGAACUUAGGGUGGAGCGGUGAAAUGCGUUGAUAUCCUAAGGAACACCGGUGGCGAAGGCGGGUCUCUGGGCCGAUACUGACGGCUGAGGAGCGAAAGCGUGGGGAGCGAACAGG